GCAGCUAAACUUCAGCAGCAUUUCUUUGACACGUGCAGUGCAGUUAGGCGAGCUCAAAACUGAUACAAAACUGCUCGAUCACUAUUAAUUUACAGUGAUAAAUGGCAAGGGAAACAUCAGGGAAUUAAUCAUUUCGCGCGUUUUGGGAAGACAUCGCGUCGAUGUAAAAAGAUUUCAGUGGAAAGCAUGAAAGGGAUGACACAUGGUUGCGGCUUCAUAAGAAAAAAAGAAGGCAGUGUGAUCUCUGGACCAGUGAUGAUUCUUUUAGUUCCUUGACAUGUACAUAUGCUAUAACUUCAUUCAUCUGUCAACAUUGCUACCUCUCCUUCUCACCAUGAACAUUGUGCUUUGUAUGGCAACAUGUAAUAAUGCAGAAUAUGAAAUUAAUGAAGAGUGUUGCCCAAUGUGUGAUCCAGG